rnacentral:piRNA from 1 species
UGGUUUAGAAGUGUGAGUCCAGUCAC